GGAUUUUUAGGGUUUCACCUAAUAGCCGUCACACCUCUUUCUCUCUCAUCAGUCCCUCUCUCUCUCCUCCCCUCUCCUCCCCGUCAUUCACCAGACUCUUUCUCCUCUCCUCCAUUAAUCUGAUUUUUCAAAACACUUGUGCUCUUUCUCUCCUCGUCCGUCCUCCUACCCCUUGUUUCUCCUCUCUUUUUAAGCUCUUACAGAGAAAUUAUGGUUGAUGGGAAUGUGAAAAAGUGUUCGAAGAUUUUAUUACGGGCGGUGCACAGUGCGAAUAAAAAGAAAUCAGUGUUAAUUUGUUGUUCCUCUUAUAGUGAAUUCUAGAUAUUGGAUCUAGAUAGCGGCGAAUUGUCAAAAACUACUGAAGAAAAAUUCUUAUAAUUUGGGAUAUCUUUGCCUAAAACUUCAACCAUUUUAUAUCUUGAGGCUAUUACAGAUAAUAGUUGAUGGGAAUUGCGACAUGGCAGUGAGACAGGUUGCUAGUAUUCAUUUCAAGAACUUUAUUGCCAAGAACUGGUCGCCUCAUGAUCCUGGUUCGUUUCCUUUCGUGUAGUGGUUAAGACUUUGACUUUAAUUGUCGUAGCUCGGUCAUUCGAUAUUGAUUCGAUAUUGAUAUUGUAUGAUUGGUUAUAUUUUUAUUUUUAAUUUCAAAGGAGCAAUCAAAGAUCUCACCGGCUGAUAAAGCCUUGGUAAGAGAAAAUAUCCUUGUGUUUGUGGUUCAAGUUCCACCGCUUUUGAGGGUGCAGUUGGGCGAGUGCCUCUAAACAAUUAUCCAUGUUGAUUACCCUGAGCAGUGGCCUGGCCUUCUUCACUGGGUGAAGCAUAAUUUGCAAGAUCAACAGGUCUAUGGUGCUCUGUUUGUUUUGCGGAUUCUCGCUAGAAAAUAUGAGUAAGUACAUGAUUGCUGAUUAUGUAUGGUAUAUUGCGGUAUCAUCACAAAAAAAUAAAGCAAAUCAUAUGUUGUUUUAUUCUUUUGGGUUUUCUCUGAUUCUAGUUGCUCCUCAUCAAGUAGGUGGAGUUGCUUACCUAAUUCUCUAUUGGCUAGUACAGUCAAAAGUCAAAUUAGAUAAUAUGCUAGCUUGACAGUGUAUUCAUGUUCAACAAGCACUAUAUUUGAUUUUACAAAAAGUUUACAUGUUUCUUGAUUAAUGCUUAAUACAAAAAAAAGGUUCUCUAGUGUUUUUGCAUAGGCAGACUGAUAAAUUUUAGCAGUCAUUUGCCACAUUUUUUUUCCUUAUUGUGCUUGCUUUAUGAGCUCCAACUGGUAUGUAAUUUUUACCAUGAUUCUUCUUCUUCCAAUUCCGAAUGACGAUAAAUCUGCUCCUUCUUUGAAGUCUAAGAAUUAUCGUCUUUUUGGUAGAGAUAAGCCUGUUCAUAAGGUCCUUGGUGGUGGUUAACAUUUGUUGCAGUAGCUAUCUCUGGAAUCUCAUACCAAAUCUCUUUGGUUCUCGCAAUGUUAUCCGAGUAGAGUGUUCGUUCUAUCAAUUUCAAGUGGUAGUUGUUCAUGGCUUAGCAGAUGGAGUCCAUGUCCGAGGGCUCAUUCGUUACUUUUGUAUGCACAUCACCAAAGCUUCACCACACUAUACAAAUUCUGAGGCCAAUCGCUUACCUAAUCAGCUGCUUCAAGGAAUCUGAGAGUAGCUUCUGGAAUGUAGUGUGUUCAUUUGUGAGCAGCUGCUUUGUUUUGAGAUUUGCUUUUGCUUUUUUUUAGUUUUAGUUAUAUUAGGAAAUAAUUAAAUUGCUGAUUGUAUAUUACUCUGUAAUUAUUAAGUGUAUACUAUACUUGUAUAAAAUAAAUAAAUAUAUAUAUUGAUUG